GCCUCUGCUGCUGACACCCUCACCAAUGGCUUCUUUGUGGCUGUCCUGGAGCGGUGCGGGGCCGGGGCUGCUGCCUGCAGCUCCCUGCCUGCGGCUGCUGCUGAUGCCCUGCAACAGGGCAAGGGAACAGAGCCAGGAGCAGCUCCCAAGAAGAGCAAGAGGAAAAAGCAGCGGGUAAAGGAGUGAAACAACCGGUUUAGGACUGCGCGGUGCCCAGCCGGGGCUGGUGGGGAUUGUCACCCUGCUGCCUGCCUGAGCUGUGGCACAGCCUCCCAUCAUGGGGAAACGCAGCUGGGUUAAGGGUGUCUUUUCCCAUGUUUGGUCCCAGAAACCUUACCCUGAUGUGGGGUUUCAGAGAAGCUUGGGACUGUAGGGACGAUCCAGAGCUGAGUUUCUCUCUCUCCCUGGUCUUUCCCAGCACGUUUGUGCAGCCUUGCCUGGAAACUGCCACUGCUUGAAGCAGAGGCAAAGUGGAGGAAAACAAUGCCAUGAAAAUAACUAGUAAUAACAGUAGGAACAAGU